rnacentral:rRNA from 1 species
GAUGAACGCUGGCGGCAGGCCUAACACAUGCAAGUCGAGGGGCAUCGCGGUGCAGCAAUGCACUGGCGGCGACCGGCGUACGGGUGCGUAACGCGUAUGCAACCUGCCCCGCACCGGGGGAUAGCCCGCCGAAAGGCGGAUUAAUACCCCAUGGUCCCGGGGGCCCGCAUGGGCAUCCGGGUAAAGCCUUGGCGGUGCGGGAUGGGCAUGCGUGCCAUUAGCUGGCUGGUGGGGUAACGGCCCACCAGGGCAACGAUGGCUAGGGGGUCUGAGAGGAUGGUCCCCCACACUGGUACUGAGACACGGACCAGACUCCUACGGGAGGCAGCAGUGAGGAAUAUUGGUCAAUGGGCGGAAGCCUGAACCAGCCAUGCCGCGUGCGGGAUGAAGGCCCUACGGGUUGUAAACCGCUUUUCCCCGGGAAGAAUAACCCCGAUGAGUCGGGGAUGGCCGGUACCGGGGAAUAAGGAUCGGCUAACUCCGUGCCAGCAGCCGCGGUAACAUACUCGUA